rnacentral:rRNA from 1 species
AUGAACGCUGGCGGCGUGCCUAAUACAUGCAAGUCGCGCGAACAGACGAGGAGCUUGCUCCUCUGACGUUAGCGGCGGACGGGUGAGUAACACGUGGAUAACCUACCUAUAAGACUGGGAUAACUUCGGGAAACCGGAGCUAAUACCGGAUAAUAUAUUGAACCGCAUGGUUCAAUAGUGAAAGACGGUUUUGCUGUCACUUAUAGAUGGAUCCGCGCCGCAUUAGCUAGUUGGUAAGGUAACGGCUUACCAAGGCAACGAUGCGUAGCCGACCUGAGAGGGUGAUCGGCCACACUGGAACUGAGACACGGUCCAGACUCCUACGGGAGGCAGCAGUAGGGAAUCUUCCGCAAUGGGCGAAAGCCUGACGGAGCAACGCCGCGUGAGUGAUGAAGGUCUUCGGAUCGUAAAACUCUGUUAUUAGGGAAGAACAAAUGUGUAAGUAGCUAUGCACGUCUUGACGGUACCUAAUCAGAAAGCCACGGCUAACUACGUG